rnacentral:rRNA from 1 species
CAGUAGCCGCGGUAAUACGUAGGGUGCGAGCGUUAAUCGGAAUUACUGGGCGUAAAGCGUGCGCAGGCGGUUCGUUAAGACAGAUGUGAAAUCCCCGGGCUUAACCUGGGAACUGCAUUUGUGACUGGCGAGCUAGAGUAUGGCAGAGGGGGGUAGAAUUUCACGUGUAGCAGUGAAAUGCGUAGAGAUGUGGAGGAAUACCGAUGGCGAAGGCAGCCCCCUGGGCCAAUACUGACGCUCAUGCACGAAAGCGUGGGGAGCAAACAGGAUUAGAUACCCCGGUAGUCCCUGUCUCUUAUAC